rnacentral:tRNA from 1 species
GGAGCGGUGUUCAGUUGGUUAGAAUACCGGCCUGUCACGCCGGGGGUCGCGGGUUCGAGCCCCUUCCGCUCCG